rnacentral:rRNA from 1 species
GAUGAACGCUGGCGGCGUGCCUAACACAUGCAAGUCGAGCGAAGCGCUUAAAUUAGAUUUCUUCGGAAUGACGAUUUUUGUGACUGAGCGGCGGACGGGUGAGUAACGCGUGGGUAACCUGCCUCAUACAGGGGGAUAACAGUUAGAAAUGACUGCUAAUACCGCAUAAGACCCCAGCUUCGCAUGAAGCGGUGGUAAAAACUCCGGUGGUAUGAGAUGGACCCGCGUCUGAUUAGCUAGUUGGUAAGGUAACGGCUUACCAAGGCGACGAUCAGUAGCCGACCUGAGAGGGUGACCGGCCACAUUGGGACUGAGACACGGCCCAGACUCCUACGGGAGGCAGCAGUGGGGAAUAUUGCACAAUGGGGGAAACCCUGAUGCAGCGACGCCGCGUGAAGGAUGAAGUAUUUCGGUAUGUAAACUUCUAUCAGCAGGGAAGAUAGUGACGGUACCUGACUAAGAAGCCCCGGCUAACUACGUG